GCAAUUAUAAUUAAGUUUAGAAGAAAACAACAACAGCUGGUAGAACAUGAGACUCUUAAUCUUAGGGUUAUGGGCUCGAGCCCCAUGUUGGGCA